ACCUGGUUGGCUCAGUCAGAGGAGUGUGAGUGACUCUUGAUCUCGAGGUCGUGAGUUCAAGCCCCACACUGGGUG
rnacentral:tRNA from 1 species